rnacentral:rRNA from 1 species
AUNACUGGCUCAGGAUGAACGCUACCUACAGGCUUAACACAUGCAAGUCGAGGGGCAGCAUGGUCUUAGCUUGCUAAGGCUGAUGGCGACCGGCGCACGGGUGAGUAACACGUAUCCAACCUGCCGUCUACUCUUGGCCAGCCUUCUGAAAGGAAGAUUAAUCCAGGAUGGGACCAUGAGUUCACAUGUCCGCAUGAUUAAAGGUAUUUUCCGGUAGACGAUGGGGAUGCGUU